rnacentral:rRNA from 1 species
UACGUAGGAGACGAGCGUUGUCCGGAAUCACUGGGCGUAAAGCGCGUGUAGGCGGAUCGGCAAGUCUGCUGUGAAAGCUCCUGGCUUAACCGGGAGUGGUCGGUGGAAACUGCCAGUCUGGAGGACGGUAGAGGUAGGUAGAAUUCCCGGUGUAGUGGUGAAAUGCGCAGAUAUCAGGAGGAACACCGGUGGCGAAGGCGGGUCUCUGGGCAGUAACUGACGCUGAGGAGCGAAAGCGUGGGGGAGCGAACAGG